rnacentral:rRNA from 1 species
GAUGAACGCUGACAGAAUGCUUAACACAUGCAAGUCUUUGGCGUAUCUGUGCUUGCACCGUCUAGCCAAGGCGGACGGGUUAGUAACGCGUAAAGAACUUGCCCUGCAGACAGGGAUAACAUACGGAAACGACUGCUAACACCUGAUACAUUUGCCGGCACGCAUUUGCCUGGCUAUGGAAAGCGAGGCUUCAGGAGAGCUUUGCGUCCUUUUAGCUUGUUGGUGAGGUGACGGCUCACCAAGCCGAUGAUAGUUAGCCGGCCUGAGAGGUGGAACGGCCACAAGGGGAAUGAGAGACGGCAGUUACGAAUACGGGAGGAAGGAGUGAGGAAUAAUGGACAAAGGGGGCAACUGUGAUGCAGCAAUUCGGAGUGUAAGAAGAAGGUUGUCGGAUGGUAAAGUGCUAAGAGAAGAGAAGAAGAAAGUGACGGUACCAGCAGAAGAAGCGACGGCUAAAUACGUG